rnacentral:lncRNA from 1 species
AUGCAUCAAGUGUCUUGUUAAAUAUUUUAUCUCUGAGGGGUAUCUGUUUUCUCCUCUCCCAUCUGGUUUGAAAAGACGUGAGAGAACCGCUCCCUAUGGAUGACAAUGUACCCUCUGACGAGAGCGGUGACGCGAAUAUCUGUUAGGGGUCACAUUUGGCUAAAUACUGUCGUUGCUAUAUAAUAUUUGAUAGGACCACUAUAGUCGGUACGACUGUGGUCAUAGUCGUACCAUGGUUUGGUAUGUUGGAAAUGUGCCUGAGCAAAUUGUCGUUAUCUGUAUCUGAUCUGGUCAUUCCACAUGCGUAGUCGGAAAUUCGUAUCUGCCCU